GUGUCAGCAGCCGCGGUAAUACGGAGGGUGCAAGCGUUAUCCGGAUUCACUGGGUUUAAAGGGUGCGUAGGUGGGCAAGUAAGUCAGUGGUGAAAUCUCUGGGCUUAACCCGGAAACUGCCAUUGAUACUAUUUGUCUUGAAUUCUCUGGAGGUAAGCGGAAUAUGUCAUGUAGCGGUGAAAUGCUUAGAUAUGACAUAGAACACCCAUUGCGAAGGCAGCUUACUACGGAGACAUUGACACUGAGGCACGAAAGCGUGGGGAUCAAACAGGAUUAGAUACCCCGGUAGUCC
rnacentral:rRNA from 1 species